UACGAGGGGGGCAAGUGUUAUCCGGAUUCACUGGGUUUAAAGGGUGCGUAGGUGGGUUGGUAAGUCAGUGGUGAAAUCCCCGAGCUUAACUUGGGAACUGCCAUUGAUACUAUCAAUCUUGAAUAUUGUGGAGGUUAGCGGAAUAUGUCAUGUAGCGGUGAAAUGCUUAGAUAUGACAUAGAACACCAAUUGCGAAGGCAGCUGGCUACACAAAUAUUGACACUGAGGCACGAAAGCGUGGGGAUCAAACAGG
rnacentral:rRNA from 1 species